UACGUAGGGUGCAAGCGUUGUCCGGAAUUAUUGGGCGUAAAGAGCUCGUAGGCGGUUUGUCGCGUCGAAUGUGAAAUCCCGGGGCUCAACCCCGGGCCUGCAUUCGAUACGGGCAGACUAGAGUUCGGUAGGGGAGUCUGGAAUUCCUGGUGUAGCGGUGAAAUGCGCAGAUAUCAGGAGGAACACCGGUGGCGAAGGCGGGACUCUGGGCCGAUACUGACGCUGAUGCACGAAAGCGUGGGGAGCAAACAGG
rnacentral:rRNA from 1 species